AGUGAACGCUGGCGGCAGGCUUUACACAUGCAAGUCGAACGGCAGCGGGGUAAGGCUUGCUUCUUUGCCGUCGCGAGGCGAACGCGUGAGAAAUACACCGGAACGUCUCCAGAAUCGGGGGAUAACCACUCGAAAGGCUGACUAUUAUAGCAUAAAUUCUGAGGGAGAGAACUGGGGACCUCGUCAUAGCCUUAGCGCUUUUUGGACGGGCGAUGUCGGAUUAGCUAGUUGGCGAGGUAAAGGCACACCAAGGCGAAGAUCUGUAGCGGGUCUGAGAGGAUGAUCCGCCACACUGGGACUGAGACACGGUCCAGACUCCUACGGGAGGCAGCAGUGGGGAAUAUUGGACAAUGGGGGCAACCCUGAUCCAGCCAUGCCGCGUGUAUGAAGAAGGCCUUAGGGUUGUAAAGUACUUUUGUUAGGGAAGAAAAGCCAGAGGUGAAUAAUGGGCGAUACUGACGGUACCUAAAGAAUAAGCACCGGCUAACUACGUG
rnacentral:rRNA from 1 species